rnacentral:rRNA from 1 species
AUUAAUUAGGGGAGGAAAAGAAACUAACAAGGAUUUUCUUAGUAGCGGCGAGCGAAAAGAAAUCAGUUCAGCACUAAGUCACUUUGUCUAUAUGGCAAAAGUGAGAUGCAGUGUAUGGAACAUCAGUAUUCUAGUAUGAGAAAUUAAUGAUUUAAGUCCUUCUUAAAUGAGGCCAUUUACCCAUAGAGGGUGCCAGGCCCGUAUAACGUUAAUGAUUACUAGUUGGUGUUUCCAAAGAGUCGUGUUGCUUGAUAGUGCAGCACUAAGUGGGUGGUAAACUCCAUCUAAAACUAAAUAUAACCAUGAGACCGAUAGUAAACAAGUACCGUGAGGGAAAGUUGAAAAGAACUCUGAAUAGAGAGUUAAAUAGUACGUGAAACUGCUUAGAGGUUAAGCCCGAUGAACCUGAAUAUCCGUUAUGGAAAAUUCAUCAUUAGAGUUGUAAUAUUUAAAUAAUGUUAUAAAACUAGUGUGCAUUUUUUCCAUAUAAGGACAUUGUAAUCUAUUAGCAAAUGUAAAUUAUCAAAAAAUUGUGAAUUAUUGUUUAUUUGAAUUAUUAUGCUUGCAUUUUAACAUAAAAUAAAUUUUGUAAAUUUGAUAAUAUGUUGAUAGAUUUAUAUGAAUACAGUGCGUUAAUUUAUUUAAAUUAUAUAAUGGCAUAAUUAUCAAUGAUUUUUGUGUUUAUUAUAAGCACUUGUAUGAUUAACAAUGCGAAAGAUUCAGGAUACCUUCGGGACCCGUCUUGAAACACGGACCAAGGAGUCUAACAUAUGUGCAAGUUAUUGGGAUAUAAACCUAAUAGCGCAAUUAACUUGACUAAUAAUGGGAUUAGUUUUUUAAUUAUUUUAAUUAAUAAACACAAUCCCGGGGCGUUCUAUAUAGUUAUGUAUAAUAAUAUUUAUAUUAUUUAUACCUCUAACUGGAACGUACCUUGAGCAUAU